CCUACGGGGGGCAGCAGUGGGGAAUAUUGGACAAUGGGGGGAACCCUGAUCCAGCCAUGCCGCGUGUGUGAAGAAGGCCCUCGGGUUGUAAAGCACUUUCAGUGAGGAAGAACGCCUGGUGGUUAAUACCCAUCAGGAAAGACAUCACUCACAGAAGAAGCACCGGCUAACUCCGUGCCAGCAGCCGCGGUAAUACGGAGGGUGCGAGCGUUAAUCGGAAUUACUGGGCGUAAAGCGCGCGUAGGUGGCUUGAUAAGCCGGUUGUGAAAGCCCCGGGCUCAACCUGGGUACGGCAUCCGGAACUGUCAAGCUAGAGUGCAGGAGAGGAAGGUAGAAUUCCCGGUGUAGCGGUGAAAUGCGUAGAGAUCGGGAGGAAUACCAGUGGCGAAGGCGGCCUUCUGGACUGACACUGACACUGAGGUGCGAAAGCGUGGGUAGCAAACAGGAUUAGAUACCCUAGUAGUC
rnacentral:rRNA from 1 species